CACUGCACAUAAGUUCUUUGGAAUGUCAGAAGUUCUCAAUGUUAGUUAACUUGUCUAGAAAAUAUGCAAGCUAACUUUCUUGUGUCCCCUAGUUGACCCUUUUAAGGGGGGUAGCCCAAUUAAAGGAGUUACAAUGAGACGGAUUGGCUAGUGUUGGAUCAUAUGUGAGGAUCACAAGCGCUUGGUAAAUUGGUUUUGAUUCAAGAUAUCAUCCCAUUCAGAGAAUAUUAAUGGAGAUAUAUGUCAUUGCAGAUACUCAUGGAUUGAGGGUUAUGGUUAUGAGGAUCAGAUGACACCAAAGGUUACGAAGUUAUAUGUAUAGUAUGAGAGUAAAAGAACUUAACCGUGAUAAAGGUACCGAUAAUUGGAACUUAGUGAUGAAACUAACCUUGGAUCAAGAGACUCGGUACAACGAAUGUAAAAGACUAUGAUGUGUAGCGUCAAAAAGGAUAGGAGAACUAGUCCUUAGUGUCCCCCAAUCAAUCUCAUUUUAAGGGGGGUAGCACCUUGGUAUUACGGGAUGAUGCAUUAUAAAACUAUCUUGAAGUGAUAAUUGUCUUCUGAGAUAUUCUAUGAUUAUGUUCAUCUAUAAGAAGUUUAAGUUUUGUCAAGAUUGAUCUUUGGUUCGAGCCACCCUUACUUGUGAGAUCAAUUUUCACCAUACUUAGCAUGUACCUGAGACGUGAUGUGGAGCAUGGAAGUACUAUCUUCUUGGACAUAAAAAAAAUAUAAAAAAAAUGUCAUCAAGGUGGAUCAUAAGAACCUAAGGAAAAUCUUCACUAAGUUGAUUCUAAGUUGUUGACAUCAUCAUUGGUUUGGUAUUGAACAAAGUUAUGACUUCAAAAAGUGCUAUCACUUGGAGAUAGAUUACUAGAGGGUGCAACGUAAAGCCAAAAUCUCUACAAGAGGAUGGAACAACUCAAGGAAGUGAACAACAUCCAAAGGAAGAGUAUCCGUAUCUCUUUGUUCACUGUCUUCCGAAUCUUGAGGACGAGAUUCAUCUUAAGGGGGUAGAAUUGUAACACCCUAAAAUUUGCUCCUUUCAAAAUGGCUGAAAAU
rnacentral:lncRNA from 1 species